rnacentral:rRNA from 1 species
AUUGAACGCUGGCGGCAGGCCUAACACAUGCAAGUCGAGCGGAUGAAGGGAGCUUGCUCCUGGAUUCAGCGGCGGACGGGUGAGUAAUGCCUAGGAAUCUGCCUGGCUGGUGGGGAUAACGUCCGGAAACGGGCGCUAAUACCGCAUACGUCCUGAGGGAGAAAGUGGGGGAUCUUCGGACCUCACGCUAUCAGAUGAGCCUAGGUCGGAUUAGCUAGUUGGUGGGGUAAAGGCCUACCAAGGCGACGAUCCGUAACUGGUCUGAGAGGAUGAUCAGUCACACUGGAACUGAGACACGGUCCAGACUCCUACGGGAGGCAGCAGUGGGGAAUAUUGGACAAUGGGCGAAAGCCUGAUCCAGCCAUGCCGCGUGUGUGAAGAAGGUCUUCGGAUUGUAAAGCACUUUAAGUUGGGAGGAAGGGCAGUAAGUUAAUACCUUGCUGUUUUGACGUUACCAACAGAAUAAGCACCGGCUAACUUCGUG